CUACGUUCAUCUGCAUAAAUCUAAUGCAUGUACUAAAAAAGUAUUCGAGUUAAAAUGGGCCUUGGAAGAACUGUAGUUCAUUCAUCACACGGAAUGCUUAAUACAUAGAAGUACUUCCGUGCUUCGCUCUGUUUCUCAUGCAUCAACCUAUCUUGCCUUCUUUUCUUUGCAGUGGUUUGCGUACAAGAACCUGGUUUUCAAACCAGAGAGGGAAAGUUUAAUACAGAAGAUGAGAGACACAUACAAGGAGAUAAUCGGGAGCAGCUAGAAGGAUCCAAACACAGAAUGCUGCUGAGAUGAUCCAUGAAGUUCUGAGUUUAGAAGCAAAUAUCUUGCAGAACUAUCAAGUGUUAAUAUAAGACGUAAUAUCAUGUACUUUUGUCUUGAAGAUGUAACUACUAUAAUACCUUAACUACAUUCCCCUUAAGCACCAAUCAAUUUCCAUGAUCACCUUUCAUGGAUCACUUGAAAGUGCUUGAAGAACUAUCUUACAAAAACAAAAAGGGCAUAUUUAGUCCUUGGAUUUUAACGUGUAAAAAUGAUAAUUUGUUGACACGUGGACAUGCAUGGCAACCGAGGCGUAAUGGAUAUAACAGAAGUUGGAAUGA